UUAAUGUACUUUAUUGUUCAAUGUCAUGUUUAUAGUGGAUUGGUGGAGGGAAAAAUGUGAUUAAUUGCCCCGAAGCCCACGGAUCUACAAUUAUUUGGUUGUUGUGAACAAAUAAAGGACUACAGUAUUCAUCAUAUUCAAAUGAGGCAGCAGAAUAAAUGAUGGCAGGCCGGGUAGGAACAAACCGAGCCGUGUUCCGGCACAAUCGGAAGGCGACUGGCGCCUUGUCAACCAGACGCAGGAUGGUGGCGGGAGCCGAACCCGUUUGUCUCCGUAGCGCCAGCAAGGGCUGGGCUGACCCUGCAGGUGCCGGCGUUAAUUCAUGUCACACCUCGCGCCUCCAGCCUUCGCGGUAUGAAAACCAGGCACCAAUUUCGUAAUAAAGACUUGUUUCCGACGAGGCCCGGUUUGGGGCGGGGGGCACAGAUCUUCAUUAGACACCUUCCCUGGGCCGCGCUCGUUACAGAGCCCAGGUACUGGCUAAAUGUGUCCGAUCAUUCAUCAUGAUUUUGCCCUCCACUUUGUCACAGCGUGGGGAUUUAAGGAAGAUAGAUGGUACAAGAUGUUGUCUCCUCCACAGACGCUUUCUGCUCUGGUCUCUCCAGAGGCAGAGUAUGGAGGAUAAAGAGCACACCUGUGGAAUCAGACAGGCCUGGUUUCAAAGCACUGAGGGCUGUGAGGUUUUGGAGUCUCCGUUUCCCCAUCCGUAACACAGGGCCCAGGAGAUGACAUCCUCCUUGGAAGGCCUUAGCCUGGCUCCUGGCACACUGUAAGCGUUCUGUCAACUCAGACGUCCCCUCCCUGCCUCCUCUCCGGGUCCUGGCUGCCGGGCGUCCCUCAUUCACCCCUGACCCGUCCCCGUUGGCCUGGCUGGGUCUGCAGCGUGGUCCCCGUGCCCCGGGACUCCUGGCUGGCAUCCAGAAGGGUCUGCAGACGAGGCAGGCCGCAUAAGAUGGUGGCUGCCCUUCUGCCCCAUGCACUCCCCGCCCUCGCUUUGUGGACGGCCCCACGGGGAACCUUAACAGUGCGCAGCAGCUAAAUCCCCGGCCUUUCCCCAGCCCUCCUACAUCCAGACCCUGGCUGGGCUCUGGGACACAGUCCCUGCCCUUAAGGAGCUGGGGGUCGGGGGAGGAGGAAACGUGAGCAGAUCAUUACUCCAAACACACAUCCCGCCAGGGGCUCGGCGGGCGCGGGUCCCAGGCCCAAACUCCACGUGAGGGGCAUUCACUUACCGAGCCCCGCUGCCAGCUGGACCCGGUGCUGGCGCUCCUUCCGCCGAGUCCACUUUGCAGCUGAGAAAACUGAGUCUGCAGAUGAACUAACGUGCUCGAGAUCUCGCGGGAUUCAGUCAUGGAGGAGGGAGGGAUUCGAACCCCGGAGGCUUCUGAUGUCUUAACUCCGAGCUGGUCAGCUCGGGGAAUGGAGCAACUGUGAUUGACACCCACUGCAUCCAAUCAGAAUUCAGCCGCGUCUCUGCUCAGAUCCUCGUCCCGAUUUUCCUGAAGAUAAAUUCCUCUGAUCAGCGUGGGAGGGAGAGCGGAAGCCCUCUGCCCAGGAGUUAGCUGCCACCAGCCCACGUGCUCCAGAACUGUCGCUGAACUGCCUGUGGGUCCUCCGGCAUGGGGUCCUGUCACCGAGCCUGGUGCACAACAGGGCUCAGUCGAUGCAUAUCCGUUUCUUAGUAGUCAGGAGACAGACCUCCCCUGAAGACUCUGCCUGGAACUGACAUGUGAUUAAGUCGACUUUCUGCAAUGAGAUUAAAAAAAAAUAACAAGCAUGGUUUUGAGGGUCAGCUGUCGUUUCAAAUCCCAGCACAGCUACUCAGUGUGUGACUUAACCUCCUGGAGCCUCAGUUUCCCCAUCUGAACAAGGGAGAUCAUGACGCCUCCUUGGCAAGCCGGUGUGGCUGAGUGUCUGCCCUGGCUCCGGGCAGCAUCUAGGAGGAUGGAAGGCCUGGAUGUGGUCCUCGCAGGCACCACUCUCCCGAGGGAGCCCACCCCUGGGGAGAUCUAGAGUAUAAGCUGGGGGUGGGGGGGAACCUGAGUGCUCCAGGGCCUCUGAGAACCAAAGCAAGACCUUCUGUGCCUCAGUGGGCUCUGGGCUCCAUCAGUGAGCUUGGCCCCAAGUGGUACAGACCACUGGAACCUGCAACGGGCGGUCCCUUGGUUCUCUAAUAACAAGAAGAGGAGUCACGGCUGCCAUUUAUGUGCCACGCACCUUCCAAGUGCUUUGUAUUCGUUUUCUUAUUUCAUCCUUCUUGCAAGGUGGAAAUACAGCCCCGCCUUACAGAGGACAAAACUUGGACUCAGAGAGUGACUGGACCAGAAUCUCCACUCUGCCCACCUCUCCCACCGCCAUCUCUCACCGCCAUUCCUUGCCCCACUGCCAAGUCCUUCUGCACUCUGCAGCCAGAGUGAGCUUUUCAAAGGACCAAGCUAAUUGUGACAUUCCUCAGCUUAUGACCUUCUUCAGUUGUGUCUCCCCAGGGCCCUUGGGAAAAAGUCCAAAGUCCUAAAUAUUGCAUGCUUGGGGUCCUGCAUGGAAAGCCUGGUUCGCCAAACCCCUCCAGCUUCACUUACACCCCUCACUUCUUAGUUCUCAGCUCUAGGCUCUUGGUUUGCACAAUAUACAAGUUCCCUCCUGCCUCAGGGCCUUUGCACAGCUCUUCUACUGCCUUUAGUUAAUCUCCCCUCAUUCUUUCAAGUUGAGCUUAGAUUCACCUUCUGAAGAAAGCCUUCCAUGACAUUCCUCCUCCCCAGGUUAAGCCCCUCUGUCUUAUUUUGUAACAUUUAUAUACCUAUCAUCAUUAGGGUAGAUCAAAGGAAGUUGCCAAUAGUUGACCAUUUUGGACCUACACUAAUGGCCAUUCCCUGUGGUUCAACCUAAUAAAUAUUUAUUGUAUUGUCUCUUCAGUGUUGGGUCCCCUGAUGUUUAGGAAAUGCUCACGAUUGAUACUAUGCUCACCAUUGUAUCACCCCAGCAUGGUACCUGAACAUGGAAUAGAAUUUCAAUAAAUUUUGGUGAAUGAAUAAUAAUGAAGUUGACGGUUGGAAUCAAACCUCAGUCCCUCCAGAAGAGUUGGAGCAACUGGUCACCCAGUCUACUCUAGCCUGGGGGCUGUCUGCCUACCACUUGGCACUAGCUCCAUGCUGCAGAGGCACAAGCCAACAGAGGCAGACCAGGCCCUGCUAAGUGGACAGUGCUGGCCCACUGUAGCUGGCUCCAGCUGCCACACGA